UACGGAGGAUCCAAGCGUUAUCCGGCUUUAUUGGGUUUAAAGGGUGCGUAGGCGGCCAGUUAAGUCAGGGGUGAAAGACGGUAGCUCAACUAUCGCAGUGCCUUUGAUACUGAUUGGCUUGAAUGUACUUGAGGUAGGCGGAAUGUGACAAGGAGCGGUGAAAUGCAUAGAUAUGUCACAGAACACCGAUUGCGAAGGCAGCGUACUAAAGUAUGAUUGACGCUGAGGCACGAAAGCGUGGGGAGCAAACAGG
rnacentral:rRNA from 1 species